rnacentral:rRNA from 1 species
ACUGCGUAUGCAAUCUACCUUUUACAGAGGGAUAGCCCAGAGAAAUUUGGAUUAAUACCUCAUAGUAUUAUGAAAUGGCAUCAUUUUAUAAUUAAAGUCACAACGGUAAAAGAUGAGCAUGCGUCCCAUUAGCUAGUUGGUAAGGUAACGGCUUACCAAGGCUACGAUGGGUAGGGGUCCUGAGAGGGAGAUCCCCCACACUGGUACUGAGACACGGACCAGACUCCUACGGGAGGCAGCAGUGAGGAAUAUUGGACAAUGGGCGCAAGCCUGAUCCAGCCAUGCCGCGUGCAGGAUGACGGUCCUAUGGAUUGUAAACUGCUUUUAUACGAGAAGAAACACUACUUCGUGAAGUAGCUUGACGGUAUCGUAAGAACAAGGAUCGGCUAACUCCGUGCCAGCAGCCGCGGUAAUACGGAGGAUCCAAGCGUUAUCCGGAAUCAUUGGGUUUAAAGGGUCCGUAGGCGGUUUAAUAAGUCAGUGGUGAAAGCCCAUCGCUCAACGGUGGAACGGCCAUUGAUACUGUUAAACUUGAAUUAUUAGGAAGUAACUAGAAUAUGUAGUGUAGCGGUGAAAUGCUUAGAGAUUACAUGGAAUACCAAUUGCGAAGGCAGGUUACUACUAAUGGAUUGACGCUGAUGGACGAAAGCGUGGGUAGCGAACAGGAUUAGAUACCCUGGUAGUCCACGCCGUAACGAUGGAUACUAGCUGUUGG